ensembl:lncRNA
CCCCUCCGCGCCUCCGUCCCCGGCCGGGGGGGGUGGGGGCGAGCGCCCCGCGCCCGAUGGCGUCGCUUCCGGUGUGUGUCCAUCUUCCCGCCAGGCCCUCCCCGCCACGUCCCUCGAGUGUUAUGAUGUACUCCUGUUGAAGAAUAACAUCCAUUAAGAUGUGAGCUACCCAACUUAAGUAUGCAAGUCCGAGUCAACUGGCAGGAGAGAAACAUGCUGAGAUUUGGAUUUUUGAGGAGAUGGAACUACUUCUCACUUGUGCUGCAAAUACAAGAUCAGAGGGAUACCAAGACUUGAAAAGCUUGGAGAAACUUUCUCCAAAGACUUUGGGACCGACUGGUGGUCAUCUCAUGACAUUCUGGAAGGAUCUCAAGGCAUGAAGGGAUUCUGGUGAGGCUUGGAGGAAGGAUGUAGUCAGACUGGAAAGGCUGUCUCCUUCAGGACCUGUGAUGGAAAAGUCCAGUACUGGUCAGCCCCUAGGACUGUCAAGUGAAGAAUGGAUCUGGAAGCAACUGGCCUGACCAACUAGACAAGUAAGAUGUAAUAAACUUAUAUAAUAUAAGAAACUUAUAUUAAGUUCAUUAUAAUAUAAUAAACUUAUAAUAAACUUAUAAUAAACUUAUAUUAUGUGGGGUCACCAGUGCUGGGAGAGGGUAGCACAUUCAGUACAUUGGUUGAAAAAUGAGGUCAGGUGGGUCUUGUCAAUGAGCAGUCCUGGAAUUGGCUGUUUGUUUCCUUCCGGUCAUGUGCUGAUGAGCCUGGAUGACCAGGAAACUCGAGAGUCAGGUGUGACCACUGGAGGAUGAAGACCUUGUUUUCUUCUUGUUGGAGAGGGUUACACCCCCAGGCUUUAGCUGUCUGUCCCCGUGUGUAUCUGCUGGAAAGCCUUUGUGCUUGGUGGUGGCUUCUCUUCCAUUUGGGUCUUCCUGUUGUGGGGGUGACAUUGCCUCAAGGGGACCUCUGAAAUCUCAAGGAAGAAGAUGUUGUUAGUACCACAGUGGUGGGGCAGUUAUGCAUUGUUUGUUGUAUUGCGAUAUAGGAGUGGGUGAGAGCAAAAGGGAGCUCAGUAUGGGGAGGAAAAUGGUCCAAUGGUUCCCCUAUUUCAGGCUUCUGCUUCCUCUUGAUUAGGGAAAUUUGGGCCCAGCAAGGGUAUGAGGAGGAUGCUCUGAGAGUAUAAGGAAAGACUGACAGUGGAAGGGCAAGGAUCUUUGGUGUGAAAUAUGUGGCAGACAUUGUGGGUUCAGGGCCCUGUCUCCUGUCUCCUAGCCCAGUUCCCUCUCACUACUAUUGGGUGGCCAUAACUGUGACAUAGAAGAUAGUAAAGCACAUGGAUAACUGUGAAGUGAGUGAAUGUGGACCUGUACUGAAGGUGAGGCAUUAAUAUUGGGAUCAGGUCUUCACAUUUCAUUUUCCUAGUGGAUUGUGGGUCUCUCUGCCAGGAGAUGAUUUUGCUACCGCUGCUCGUUCUGUGCACUGUUUAAUGUUAUUAAUAAUGUUUUAUACUGUUGCAUAAUAACAUAACCUGAGGGAGUUCUGAGAAGAAACACCUCUUGUUUCUGCACAUGCUGUAAUCCUACUGAGAUGCUGCCUUUCAUCACUUUUUCAUGGUUUUCUCCUGGAGCUUUAUUUACUUUUAUUUAGCUUUAUUUACUCUUGGUCAUUGCUUUGAUGGUCAUUUCUUACCCUGAGUGUCCAGAAGUCUCUGUUUCAACUGCUUAAGUUGUUCUCUCCUACCUCAGUUCAGUUCAGUUCAGUCUCUCAAUCGUGUCUGACUCUCUCCUACCUAGCACCCCUCUUUGCAUGGAUUUUCCUGUUGGGUCCUUAAAGGAGCAUUCCUCAGUUGUCAAGAUGGCAAGAGGCUUACUGAGCUUUUUAAAAGAUUUCCACACAUAUAAAGAGGCAGAGAAAGAACUGACAUGUUUUCCAAAGUUAACCCUCUAAAAUGAAAGGAGGGGUGAAGGACUACUGUCAGUUUUCAGUGGGAAAAUUAAACCAUUUUUCUUAUGUAACUUUAUAUUUGCCCUGCCAUACCCUAAUGUGAGAUACCAGGUCCCUGCAGGUGUCUGUCACCCACAAAUUGUGAUUGCUGCACUCAGGGCCAAACUCAGGCCACAGGGAACUACCUUCAGUAGAACUUGUCCCAAGGUACCUCAAGGAAAAGGAUUAUGUAAGAGUCAUUGUUCACCCUCCAGUUCAAUUAUAUUUUACCAAAACCUGUGUUCUUGUGGUGAGUUCUCUGUGGGCCUUUGCAGUAGGGAAUACAACCACAGGUGUUGUUUAUAGACAGUUUCAGUUGCUAUGCUGAUCUCACCAGUCUUGGCAAAUGGAAGAUGUACUUUACCACUCAUGUCAGAGAGCAACAGACGAUUGUGUAAAAUAUUUUUAAUUUGUACAGUGUUGUGUUUCAAUAAAAUUUGUAUGAUGGAAAUGCUCUCGCUGUAGAUGUUAUUGUUUGUGAUGACUCCAGGCAGCAUUGAUGAAGAUGUGGCUCUGCCUGUGCGUCACAACAGUAUUAUGAUCUACUCGUGUUAAAGAAUGACUUAUCCAUUAAGAUGUGAGCUACCUGACUUAACUAUGCAAGUCCAAGUCAGCAGGUAAGAGUGAAACAUGCUGAGAUUUGGAUGUUGGAGGGGGUGGGUCUACUUCUCCCCUGUACUCUGAAUACAGGAUAAGCAGGUAUGAAUUACAGAAUUAAUCAGUGGACAUGUUUUCUGUUUUAUAGGAGACCAAAGAAAUUUGAACUUGGGGAAGACUUGAGUGUGCAUAAUUUUUUCCAUUUAUUGAGGGCUUUUUCUGGGCCAAGCUGUAUGUGUCUCCCUCAUAAAUACUGAUAUGAGGAAAUAUGUGAUGAUGCCAUGGAAUCUUAAGGGAAACACUGGAUAUCCUGACACUCAGAAGUAUGGUCUCAAUGCACAGGCACAUUCAUGUAGCAGUACACAUAGCUUGUGGAACAGGUGUGCACCUUUAGAACUCUGUUAUUUUGCUGGAUGUCAGGGAUCUCAUAAAUCGCUAAGGCUCACUUGCCUCUUACACACACACACACACACACACACACACACACACACACAUUCAGAGAGCAGGGGUCACUGCCUCCUUCUACUCUCCUUUUCCCUUAAAUGUAGUCUCACCUUGGAGAGAAAUGAGUGGCUGACAGGAAGAUUAUAGGAAUAAAGGAUGAGUAGGGAGCUGCCCAUUCUGGGUUCCUUUUUUGCUUUUUGUUCUUUCACCACCGCAGGAAUGCCAAGACUAGAAAGGCUUGGAGCACCUUAGUGCCAGUACUGUUGGACUGACUGGUGGUCAUCUCAUGACAUUCAGGAUGGAUCCCCUGGCACAGUGUGAUUCUGCUCGGGCUUGGAGGAAGGGUGGACUCAGACUGCAAAGGUUGUAACUACCUUGGAAGCCCCUAGGGCACAAUUCUCCUCCAGACAGAGGCAAAUGCAGGCUAGUCUGUGUUUUGCUUCUAGCGCUGGUGUCCUCUCAGCCUUCUUCCUGCCUCCCCAUUCUGCUUCCUGUCUCUAUAUCCCUCCAGCGAUCUAUCUUUCCAUCUCUCUGUAUCCCAGGGACACAGGCUAGGGAUACAGGCUUCGCUUUCCUCUUAGUCUCCAGCUGCAGUGGCACCGACAUGAAGGUCUGUUUCCUGCUAUGUGUGGUCUGAGUUUCUCUUCUGAUUGGGACAAGUGAUAUGGAUCAAUUUGGGGAAGCUAUUACUCUUCCAGCUAUAGAUGUAUUCUCAGUGACUGAACCACGUGCCAGAAGACAACCCACAGCAAUUUGUGUACCCUGGUCCAGCCCUAUGUUGUGGCAGCAUGGAGCCCAUCUCAUGAGGGGAAGGGCGAGGGAGGCAACGCUAACACUCACAAUCCACAGUUACACUAAACUUCACAGGUUAAGGUUACACUGCUAAGCCGGAAUGCCAUCACUACAGAAACCAGACACAAGUCUGGGUUUACCAACGACACCCUUACCCUGACCAACUGAUAGAUGGGCCACGUUCUUGAUCAGGCAAUCCACAGAGAAUCAUUCCAUAAAUGCAGUGAAUAUCCGGUAUAAUUUUCAUUCAAAUGCUUUUCAGUCUGCCCCCAGGUAUUGUUCAAAACAGUCAAACCAAAGAAUUUAAGACGCGCCUUUUCCCUAUAAGAUGUACAAUGAUGGUUAGAAAAUAACAUUCAGAAUGCAGUGAAACAGGCGCUUUCAUUUUGUUCAUGGGUAGAUUGAGUUUGGGAGACAUCUUUGCAGGAGGUUUCAACACAUAAAGUUGAUAAUGUGAGUGAUGUUUUGUCAGUGUGUGUGUGCAUUUGUGUGUGUGUGUCUGUGCAUGCAGAAGCCCUGAUGCAGACUACUUCAGUGUGGACACUCACCACCUUGGUAGAAGGAGGAGCACCCAAAAUUUGGGCACAGGCCCACACCUGGCCCUAGGAAGAGAUGCCAGGAGGUGGGGCUGUGCCAGGCCCACAAAAGGAAGUACGAGAUGCAUGGUCUAGGCAGGCAGAUCCCCUAGGAUAUCUGGAGGCCAGCCCUCAGCCAGGUGGUGAACGCUUAGGCUAGAGCCUGGCUUAGAGAAGUAGGGCAGAAGCCUGGCUCAGGGGCUCUUGGAGGGCUCCAUGAGGGGUUUCCAAUAGCUUGGGGGCCCCGUGCAUGGCUGCUGGAACUCAAAAUGCAUCUGACACUUGGAUUCAAGCAUUGCUGCAGGCGGCCAGGGAGGUGGUCAUUUGGCUCUUCAAGAUGGUCCCGACAGGCUUGACCUGUUUAUCAUGUGGUUCAUGGUUGCUUAUACUGCUUCUCCAGUGAUACCAUGGACCUUGCCUUCCACGCUCGCUUCCACAGCCAGGCCCUGUUCCACACGGCAGCAGACAUGGUGUGCUCGUCCACGUGUUAUAUCAUUGACUGUCUUCUCCCAUGAGGACCAAAUAUGUGUUCUUCCCUGAGAAGACCAUGUUCUUUCACAUUCCUGUUCCUGUGCACUUGCUCCAAUUUAAUCCUUUAAACCACUUCCUCUCUCUCCCAUAUUCUAUGUCCACUCUCAUUAAACACACAUUUCAGCUUGUUGCAUCUUUUCAUUUUUUUCAUUAAAAAAGUUAUUUAUUUUAAUUUGAG